rnacentral:rRNA from 7 species
UCUGGUGAUGAUGGCGAAGAGGUCACACCCGUUUCCAUACCGAACACGGAAGUUAAGCUCUUCAGCGCCGAUGGUAGUCGGGGGUUUCCCCCUGUGAGAGUAGGACAUCGCCAGGC